UACGACUACAUAUCAGGCAUAUCAAUAAGCGGAGGAAAAGAAACUAACAAGGAUUCCCUAGUAACGGCGAGUGAAGCGGGAAGAGCUCAAAUUUGAAAUCUUAAAGGUUUUCCCUUGACGAAUUGUAGUUUAAAGAAGUGUUUUCUGUUGAAGUUUUCGGUAAAAGUUCUUUGGAAUAGGACAUCAUAGAGGGUGAGAAUCCCGUAUUUGACCAUUACUUUCCAGCUGUGUGAUACACUUUCAAAGAGUCGGAUUGUUUGGGAAUGCGGUCCAAAAUGGGUGGUAAAUUUCAUCUAAAGCUAAAUAUUGGCGAGAGACCGAUAGCGAACAAGUACCGUGAGGGAAAGAUGAAAAGAACUUUGAAAAGAGAGUUAAACAGUACGUGAAAUUGUCAAAAGGGAAGCGUUUGACACCAGUGUUGUUUUCUCGAAAAUCAAUUAAAAAAAGUUGGAUUUUGUGUUGUAUUGACCUUAACAGCUUGCUUCACUCUUUUCCAGCUUUUUUUAAUGCACUUUUCGUUUAACAAGUCAACAUCAGUUUCUUUUGUUGUAAAAGGGUCAUUGGAAGGUGGCUUUCUCUUCGGAGAAAGUGUUUAUAGCCUUUGAUCUCUGCAAUCGGAGAGACUGAGGUCUGCAGCGUAGAUCCUUCGGGGUUAGAUACAUUUGUGCUAAGUUAUAGCCUUUUCAUAGACAACUUGUUGACUAUGAUCAGUCAUGUGACUUACUCGCUUAUGCUAUUUUACCUACGCUUAGGAUGUUGAGCGCAUGUCUCUCUCU
rnacentral:rRNA from 1 species